rnacentral:lncRNA from 1 species
UCUUUAACAGCAAAGGUGAGGCUGCUCAGAGGAAGGUCAUGUGACGAAGACGGCGGCCGAAGAAGGAAUUUCUCCACGAAAGCUCCAUGUUCUGAGUCUAUCGCCAUCCCUCUCUGCCACUGCUGUCUCAGACAAUCUCAGCCUCAGCAGCAGCUCCACAUUUUGAUGACAGAAGUGAACAGCUCUCCACUCAUCAAUCAUGCGAUGAUCACUUCAGCCAGUGAGGACAAAUAUUAUUCCUUAAAAAAAAUCUGUGUUGAUAAGGCGGUCACUUCAGCCAGUGAGGACAAACUGGAAAUUCUGGAGGUUGCUUAAGUCCUCACUGUGGUCGUUAGACAUUGAGAAUCGAUAAAGUGGUACUUAAAAGCAGGAAAAACAACUUACCAUAAAAUCUGAAACAUCAAAUGUGUUUAAAAGGUCGUACCCAGUGCACAAGGCUCCCGCUUUACGCAGGGUUUGGGAGAGGUGAAUGUCGGCUAGCCUUACCCCCAUUUAUGGAGAGGCUGCUCUCAAGUCUCGAACCCGAGACCUACCGCUCAUGGGCGAAGGCACUUGCCAUCGCACCAAGUGCGACCUCAAAUGUGUUUGGUAAAAAAAAAAAAAGCUUAUUUAAAAAAUUGUUGUCAAUGACAACAAAAAAGCAUAGAAAAGCAGAAGUAGGAUCUACUAUGCUUUAAAAUUAUCUAAGCAUAGUGAACAGUGGCCAUUUGAUGAAAUUUUCAAAUAGCAAGUAUACCCCUGCCUUUUUUACAAAAUAACAAUCGUUGCCCGUGGAAUAUUAUCUUUGACAACUAUUAUAGGGAAUUAUUAUUAGCAUUCCAAAAGUCUCAUUUGACAUUCCAAACUUUCUAUAAUUAGAAAGAAAAAAAACACUUGUGAGGAGUGUAGAAUGAGAUUUUUGGAAUGCUAAUAACAGUUCCGUUAUUAUAUCACAUUAAAUGCCAUAUCAUUUUUAGUAUUUAACAUAUUCACAUUAAUUUUAUAUAAAAGUUGACAUAACACUCAGAUACUGUUUUCUUUUUUUUUACAAGCACUUUUACAAUAAAAGUUUAUUAAACGCUUAACAACUUUAUUUUACAGCUGUUCUGCUGUUUUUUUUUUUUUUUUUAACAUAACAAUACCAAACUAGCAAAACUUACAAGCACAUAUAUCAGGAAAAGAUUAUCAGAGUCUGCAACUCAAAAUCUUGUAGUCAACAUUCACAACUUCCCGACGUGUUCUUUGAGAGUGUCGUAAAGAGUCUCGACAAGAUUGAGCAGGAACCCGUCCGAGCCAUGCUUUGCCAGCAAGGAAACUGAAACGGGUAGGUUAUCGUACAUCCCUAGUGGUAUAGUCACCUGCAAAUACGUAGAAAUACGUUACAAACUUUCACAAGAUAUUUGCAGUCAUUGAAGAAGAAAAAGAUCGUAGUCAUAUACAAACAUGGAGACUGGAGAGGGGGAGGGAGAAGUAGAGAUAGAUAGAGGGCUUAAAAACCUGGCAGAAUCCGGAAACUACGGCAAUGGAUAGGAAGCUGAAAGCCCUGGCACGAAAAUUGUGCAGUGUUGUAGGAUCUGUUUGCAGCUUUGGUGGAUCCCCUGGAACUGUAGGCAUUGCGAGGACACCGAAAUCCUGAUGAGUAAAUCAAAGAGAUUGUGUUAUGUAUUCAUUAGAGACGGUAUGUAUCAUCCAUUUCUUCUGCUAAAGGUACCUUUUUAAGAGCAAAAGGAAGGAAGAUGCUAACAAAUAACAGUUUGUCAAAGAUGAGAGAGAGAGAGAGAGAGAGAGAGAGUACCCCGAGAAGGUCAGUAAGAGCAGCACGCAAUUCAGUCAUCACGGAGUGACAAACAUCGACAUUUUCAUCUGUUGACCGAACAGCUGCCCAUAUACGUUCUCCUAUCCCGGGACCUAAGUCAGGUCUGACUGUACUAACCCAUUCACCAUGGUUGCUCUUGAAUUCAUACCUAUUCUAUCAACCAAAUGAUAAAUUUGGAAUUCAUUAUGAACGACAAAUUUGAAUUUUGUUGAUCAAGAUGAAGAUGCAGAAAUUAUCACACUCAUAUUCAAGUCGACCAAAUCAGCACCUUUCAAGUAGACGAUCGGCGGUUGAUAGGGCUGCCAAUGACGGUAUAAUGUACUCUUCACUUGGAUUUCCUUUAUCCAAGAAAGAGUUCAAGCUUGGAACUUUGUCCUUGACAACGUCCCCAAGGUUAGCAUGUUUUAUAACAUGACCUGCAUUUGCAGAUAUAACGAGUGAGCUUCUUCUUUCCAUGUUAUGAACUUGUCCCUAUCUCAGCAGGAGACCUAAUUUAAUUAAGUGAAUGAUGAUUUUCAGGUAAUAAUCUGUCUACUGAAUUUAAUGGUCUAUUUGUGUCUUAAAAUGCGAGGGAAUUAUAAAUUGGACUCGAUUCAUGUCAAUCAAAGUACUUACAGCAAGAGAUGAAACAGAUGAAUAUGGUCAAAUCACUUACCCCCAAAUAACUUCUCAACUGAGUCAACAAGUACUUGUUUCACUCGACUGCUUGGAACACUUGAAAGCUGGAAACAGUCUUCUGCGAUGAUUAACUGAGUGGGUACGACAGGACCUGUAUCAGGCAAUUGGAGUAACACUCGUCCAACUCUAUUCAAAAUCGCAGGAUCCCUUGCAAACCAUCCUAUAUCAGAAGUUAGUGUCAAAAGGAUGGUUUCCAAUUGCUUAGAGUGCUAGAUAGAUCAUUCGCAUAGGUAAAGCUUUCGAAGUACUAUAUUUCCAAUUGCAGAAAAACUUAAACACAGAAGUGUCACAAGUAAUAAUCAACAAAAAUGCAGAAUGCCUGGAUGGCAUAUGAAUCAUUAAAGCGGAAGAAGUUAGCUACAUUCUAGCAACAGAAAUAGAGAUUUCCUGUUAUAUAAAAUCGAGGGAAAACUGAAACAUGACUUUUUUUGUCACAACCAGAAAUCAAUUUCCUAAGCCAGUCUGCAAUAUAAAAUGUCAUUGAUUUCUCACCCACUGUAUCGAAACUUUGUGCCAGGGGAGUAACUCCAGAGGUAGAAAUGACACCAUGAGAUGGCCGAAACCCAAAAACUCCACAAUAUGAAGCAGGAACUCUUAUACUUCCUCCAGUGUCGGUUCCUGAAAAAUUGAGGGUCUUGUGCUUCAACAUAAAGAAGCAAGAAAACAACAAAAGCACGCAUGGAAUAACCUACCUAAGGAAAAAUCUGCGAGGCCUACAGCUACGGCAACAGCAGAACCGCUAGAAGAGCCUCCAGGCACCCUAUCUGGUGCGCACGGAUUUCUGGGUGUGCCAUAAUGCUUGUUCUCUCCAUUUAUACUGCCAACAACACAAUGCUAAAUUCAAGAGCAUUUCUGUCGAGUGAUUUUCAAAUGUACAAAAUCAUGAUAUAAAUACUUUUACCAUGAAAAGAGACUUGUAGUGAUCAAUCAUUUGUGAAAAUUUUUGCAAACAAAACAGUAAUGCAAGUUUAAGCAUGUGAAGUAAGACAAGGCCUCUUUGCACUAACCAGUAUGCCAUUUCAUCCAUGACAGUUAUACCAAUACUUGUGGCACCUCCACUCAAUAUUGCUGAAACAGCCGGAGCUGUUGACUCAGCAGCCGGGUGAGUCCUCGCCCAAUCAGGAUUCCCAAACCCAGUCACACGUCCAGCCACAUCAAAUCUGCCUCCAAGUUCAAAUUUCAGUGAACACAAAAAUGUUUUGGCUUUUACACACACACAUGAAAAAAAUUGCACAAUUCAACACCCUGAAGUUCACCAUCAUGGUUCCACAAGCACACAUAAAACCACACAAAGCAUGAAGAUUUAUUAAAACGCUUCUCUGAAAAAGCACUUCUCAUCAUAAGUGCUUUUGCUGGAAGUAUUUUUACUUUAGUAGAAGUAAAUCCACCACAAAGUUUCAUUAAAAAUUCAAGUGCUUCAGAAAAAAAACAUUUGAACAUUUUUUCUGAAAGUGCUUUUAGUCAUUCUCAAAUGAAGAAACGCCCAAUCACAGAAACAACACACAAAAUUGGGUUCUUGGAGACAACUGAUUGAACCCAAAUCCGAAAUCAGCAAAUAAGCACAAAAGCAUAUGAAUUUUAAGUAUAACACUACAAAAUUUAAAGCAUCCACCAAAUAGAAGAGUGAUAUAAUUGAGGAAAAUUUAAGAGAGUAGCUCUCACAUGUCUUUAACAGCAAAGGUGAGGCCGCUCAGAGGAAGGUCAUGUGAUGAAGACGGCGGUCGGAGAAGGAAUUUCUCCACGAAAGCUCCAUGAUCUGAGUCUAUCGCCAUCUCUCUCUGCCACUGCUGUCUCAGACAAUCUCAGCCUCAGCAGCAGCUCCACAUUUGACGACAGAAGUGAAAAGCUCUCCACUCAUCAAUCAUACGAUGAUCGUAUUCAAAUGCAAGGACAAAUAUUAUUCCUUAAAAAAAUAUGUUGUUGAUAAGGUGGUAACUUCAGUCAGUGAGGGCAAAGUGGAAAUUCUGGAGGUAGCUUAAGUCCUCACUAUGGUCCUUAGACUUUGAGAAUUGAUACAAAUGGUCUUUAAAUUUCUCCACCGUAAAUUAUUUUGCUCUAAAAAAUUUGUCAAUAUCAUCGUUGAGUGGUUGGGUUGAUUAGACAAAAUAUCAAAGAAAGACAAUUCAAGGACCGCUUCUAUCGGUUUUCAUUAUCAUGAUCAAAGUGAGGGGUUUUGCCAAAGUCAUGAACUAUUUUGACUAAAACCCUAAAAAAAAAAGGGAAUUGUUAUUGGCUCUCCAAAAAUCUCAUUCUAUACUCCAACUUUCUAUAUUUGGAAAGAAAACUACACUUCUGAUGAGUGUAGAAUAAGAUUCUUGGAGUGUUAAUAACACUUCCCAAAAAAUAAAACAUAUUCUAUGAAAAUAUUGUGAAUUUCUUAGCUUAUGGAUCCAACGCAAGUACACAAUGUAUUAGGGUUUUUAUCACAAAUGAUCCCUGAGAUUGAUCAAACUCAUUAUUUUGAUCCCUCACUUUCAAAAUCAAUCAAUGUCGUCUCUAACCUUCACUACCAAAUAUCAAUUGGGUCAUUCCGUUAAGAUUUUGUUAACUAUUCUGUUAGUUUAUAUGCGGGGCCCACAAUUUCAAUGAAAUUGUGACAUGUAGAUUACACAAAAUAAGGAUUUUUAUCGCAAAUGGUCCCUAACAUUGAUCUAACUCCUCAUUUUGGUAUCUGAGUUUCAAAAAUUAAUAAAUUUGGUCAUUGACUUUCAAUACCGCAUGUUAAUUUAAUCAUUCCGUUAAAGUUUCGUCAAUAUUCUUUUUCCCACUAAUUCAAUCAUAUGACGUCACGUGAAUUAACUAUAAGAAAUUUUUUUUUAAAGAUUUAAAACUAAAAGUAAAAUAAGAGACUAAAAACCAAUACUAAAAGAAAGAAAAAAGUCAUCGUCAUCUUCAUCAGGUAUGCUAAAAAAGAAAAUAAAGGCACCAUGACACUAUUAAAGUUCUUGGCCUCCUAAACUUACUCUUCAUUAUCUCCAGUUGGUUAUAAUCCUAUCAACUUUAAAUUGAAUUUGGAUUCGAUUUUAUCAAAUUUAGAUUGAAUUUUUUUCAAUUGGGGUUGUGGGAUGUGAGAAAUAUCAACGCAGAAUACUCGUAUGUUGGUUCAAUCUUAAAAAAAAAAAAAAAUUCUUAUAGUUAAUCCACGUGGAGCCAUAUUGAUGAAAUUUUAAUGAAAUGACUAAAUUGAUGUGCGAUAGUGAAAGUCAGGGAUCAAAUUCAUAAAUUUUUGAAACUUAGGGACCAAAAUGAGGGGUUGGACCAAUGUCAGUGACCAUUUGCGAUAAAAACUUUAAUUUUGUGUAAUCCACAUGUCACUAUUUCACUAGAUUUGUGGGUUCCACUUACAAACUAACAUAAUAGUUGACGGAAUUUUAACGGAAUGACCAAAUUGAUGUGGGGUAGUGAAUAUCAUGGACGACAUUAAUUGAUUUUGAAAGUAAGUCUCACUUACAAACUAACAGAAUAGUUGAAGGAAUCUUAACGGAAUGACCAAAUUGAUGUAGGGUAGUGAAUGUCAUGGACGACAUUAAUUGAUUUUGAAAGUAAGCGACCAAAAUGAUGAAUUUGAUCAAUUUUAUGGACCAUUUGUGAUAAAAACUCCAUUGUAUUAUCAAUGGAAACAAAAUUUCAAGUGGCAGUUCCAUACAUAUGCAGGCGAACUUUCAUUCGCUGCGGUCGUAAUAAAAAAAUAUGUACAAAUAAGGGAUCACAGGUCUGUGCUCGGCGAGUUCCACCUCUGCUGGCUUUGUAGUUACUCCCGGAGCACUCCAACCUAAGCGUUGCAUGCACACAGCAUCGUAUGCUUCAAUUUUCAAACCCGAAGCAAGAAAUAGUUCCACCUCGUUUACAAACCGAUUGGUUCUUGCUGCCAGGAAAGGCCCUGCUGCAUCACAGGUUGAUUCUUGAAAUUCUCUUUGUUUUUCUUCAGGUGCCGUCGUUCGACCUUUUUGUUCAUCCCUUGAAAAUGCAUGGUUCAGGUAAAAGUUCAGACAAAGAGUUCAUUGAAAUUUUGCACGUUUUCAAGCACUUCAAUGUUGUUCUUUCUCAUAUCUUGUCCAAAAGAACUCUAAAGACGGGAACUAACUUUGGAACGUUAUUCGAUUUUUCAAUUGAAGAUCUAGGGAGUAACACAUAUCACCUCGUCAGGGAUGAAUUAAUCACGCCAUGUAUGUGGUGCAUGACGAUGUCAACAUCUUCCUCCUACAAGCAGCAACAGAAGCAAGUUAGCUAUAAAGAGUCACCCGAAUAACUAUAACAUGCAUGUUCUGCUUUGGUCGUCAUAGAUAAAGAAAGACCACACGCACAAUUUUAUGAUUAGCUAAUUGGACUAGGUGAUCCAGUUCAUUGCCAAGCCAAAGAAACAAAAAUGAAACUCUGUAAGAUGUUGAAAUGUCCCCGUGUCACCACGAAAGAAAAUUUAUGCAGAAGAAGCCAAGACCUGCAUCAGAGCUUGGAUUUCCCUUCUCCACCAACUUUGGAGCCAGCGGUUUGGCUGAAGAUACUUGCUGGACUUCCGAUACCGUGGUAUGUCAAAUAUGUCACUUAAGAAAACUAAUUAAGAAACAAAGUUAACCAACUGGAAGGCAUGUAAACAGUGACGUCGUUUCUCAGGGAUAUAAAAUGAGAAACAACACAACCAAUAAAAUGACAAGAAGCACAAAACCUGGUUCAGUGUAAUAACACUGCAAUCUAUGCUUGUGCUCCUUUGAUAAGAAAAAGCUGCAGAUACCAUUAACAAAAAACGAUUUACAAAGAGGGUUACAUAUUUUCGAAAACGAUUUACAAAACUUUAUUUUUCAGGCCUAUCCACCCUUGUUUUUCUCCCCUCCAGGAAUUUUAGUGGCAGAGGUUUUGUGACGACGAGGAUUGUUGGUAAAAGCUGUUAUGUAGGAGACUUCUCCUUUCAGUAUAAAUGUCAUUACUCUUCUUUUAUUGUAAUUUAUUUAUGCUCUGACAUCAUUUGUGUGAAAUGGGUUCAAUCCCGCUCAUAUGCGCAGUCUAAAUUAGUUACUUUUAGGUUUUAAUUUAUUCACAAUUUUCACUUCACUACAUUUUAUGGCUUCGUCACCUCUGAGUGUCGGCUAGUACAUCACGAUUUGGGUGUCUGCGUGGACAUUCCGAGUCGGAAUGUGUCAAAAAUGUACCAUAUAAAGGCUACCAAUUUUUUGUAUGUAAAAUAUCAUUAAUAUAAGUAAUGACAAAUCAUGGGUUUUAUUUAAAUAGUUUAUUUUAAUGACAAAUCAUGUCAUUAAGAUAAAUUAUACUUUUUUAUAUAAGUAUAAUUUAUUUUUUUAUAUUUUCAAUCCCACAAAUCAUGAAUUUUAUCUAAAAUCUCAUUAAUACAAGUAACUAAAAAUAUCAAAAUAUCAAAUUUUAAUUUGAAAUUAUAAUAACCUACAUAGAAAUUUAUUAUUGUAUUAAUUUCAGGAACUUCAAUAAAAAACUGAAAACCAACAAGGUUUCAAUUGGAUUAAAAUUGAGGGACCAUUGAUACAAUUUUUCUUAUUUGAUUUUUCAUAUUUGCCCCUUAAUUUGGCCUCAUGUGCAUAGCAUGUGACUUAUUUUGGCAUAAGUUCUAAUGUAGUUGACAAAAAAAAAAAAUCAUAUCUGCACGUUUUGAUGAGUUUAGAGACCAAUGUUAAUGAAUUUUUAGUUGAUGGAUCGUUGCUCCUAUUAAGUUAAAGUUGAGAAAUUAUUGCUACAAUUUCCUCUACAAUUAAAGCUAAUAUAUAAGCUUGAUAGCUUGCUCAUGGACCAUACACAAGGAUAAAACGAGGAAAAUUCCUAUCUAUUUUAAACCUUAUGACUGAUUUGGGAUUGUGGUUCUUUUAUAAAAAACAGCUUAUGAAAAAAUCUGGAACAUCAAAUGUAUUUGGUACCAAAAAAAAAAGUGCUUAUUUAAAAAAUUGUUGUCAAUGACAACAGAAAAGUAAAGAAAAGCAGAAGCAGGGUCUACUAUGUUUCUAAAAAUUUCUAAGCAUGGUGAACAGUGAGAAUUUAAUGAAAUUUUCAAAUGGCAACUGCAUAUUUUACAAAAUAACAAUCGUUGUCCGUGCAAUAUUCUCUUUGGCAAUUAUUAUAUCACAUUAAAUGUCAUAUCAUUUUUAGUAUUUAACAAAUUCACAUCAAUUAUAUAUAUAAAAGUUUACAAAACACUCAGAUACUGUUUUAUUUUUUUACAAGCACUUUUACAAUAAAAGUUUAUCAAACGCUCAACAACUUUAUUUUACAACUGUUUAUUCUCAAAAUACUGCAGAAACAAUUUAAAAAAAAAAAAAAACAAAACAUAACAACACCAAACUAGCAGAACUUACAAGCACAUGUAUUAGGAAAAGAUUAUCAGAAUCUGCAACUCAAAAUCUUGUAGUCAACAUUCACAACUUCCCGGCGUGUUCUUUGAGAGUGCCGUAAAGAGUCUCCACAAGAUUGAGCAGGAAUCCAUCCGAGCCAUGCUUUGCCAGCAAGGAAACUGAAACAGGUAGGUUAUCGCACAUCCCUAGUGGUAUACUCACCUGCAAAUACGUAGAAAUAAGUUACUAACUUUCGCAAGAUACUUGCAGUCAAUGACGAAGAAAAAGAUUGUAACAUGUCGUAUACAAACAUGGAAAGGGGGAGGGAGAGGUAGAGAUAGAUAGAGGGCUUAAAAACCUGGCAGAAUCCGGAAACUACGGCAAUGGAUUGGAAGCUGAAAGCCCGGGCACGAAAAGCGUCCAGUAUACUAGGAUCUGUUUGCAGCUUUGGUGGAUCCCCUGGAACUGUAGGCAUUGCGAGGACACCGAAAUCCUGAUGAGUAAUUCAAAGAGAUUGUGUUACGUAUUCAUCAGAGACAGUAUUUCUUCUGCUAAAAGUUUCGUUUUAAGAGCAAAAGGAAGGAAGAUGCUAACAAAUAACAGUUUGUCAGUCUCUCUACUCUAACAAAACGAACUCGUUUGAUAUGAAGUGACGGAUUCCUAAAAUGAACUUUAGCGUGUGCAAAGAUGUGAGAGAGAGAGAGAGAGAGAGUACCCCGAGAAGUUCAGUAAGAGCAGCACGCAAUUCAGUCAUCACGGAGUGACAAACAUCGACAUUUUCAUCUGUUGACCGAACGGCUGCCCAUAUACGUUCUCCUAUCCCGGGACCUAAGUCAGGUCUGACUGUACUAACCCAUUCACCAUGGUUGCUCUUGAAUUCAUACCUAUUCUAUCAACCAAAUAAUAAAUUUGGAAUUCAUUAUGUACGACAAAUUUAAAUUUUGUUAAUCAAGGUGAAGAUGCAGAAAUUAUCACACUCAUAUUCAAGUCCACCAAAUCAGCACCUUGCGAGAAGAUGAAAGGCGGUUGAUAGGGCUGCCAAAGACGGUAUAAUGUACUCUUCACUUGGAUUUCCUUUAUCCAAGAAAGAGUUCAAGCUUGGAACUUUGUCCUUGACAACAUCCCCGAGGUUAGCAUGUUUUAUAACUUGACCUGCAUUUGCAGAUAUAACGAGUGAGCUUCUUCUUUCCAUGUUGUGAGCUUGUCACUAUCUCAGCAGGAGACCCAAUUUAAUUAAUUGAUUAAUUUUCAGUUAAUAAUCUGUCUAUUGAACAUAAUGGCCAAUUUGUGUCUUAAAACGUGGGGGAAUUAUAAAUUGGACUCGAUUCAUGUCAAUCAAAAUACUUACAGCUAGAGAUGAAACAGAUGAAUACGGUCAAAUCACUUACCCCCAAAUAACUUCUCAACUGACUCAACAAGUACUUGUUUCACUCGACUGCUUGGAACACUUGAAAUCUGGAAACAGUCUUCUGCGAUGAUUAACUGAGUGGGUACGACAGGACCCGUAUCAGGCAAUUGGAGUAACACUCGUCCAACUCUAUUCAAAAUCGCAGGAUUCCUUGCAAACCAUCCUAUAUCAGAAGUUAGUGUCAAAAGGAUGGUUUCCGAUUGCUUAGAGUGCUAGAUAGAUCAUUCACAUAGGUAAAGCUUUCGAAGUACUAUAGUUCCAAUUGCAGAAAAACUUAAACACAGAAGUGUCACGAGUAAUAAUCAACAAAGAUGCAGAAUGCACGGAUGGCAUAUGAAUCAUUGAAGCGGAGGAAGUUAGCUACUUUCUAGAAAUAAAGAGAGAUAUUUCCUGUUACAUAAAAUCAAGGGGAAAAAACCGAAAACAUGACCUUUUUUUUGUCACGACCAGAAAUCUAUUUCCUAAGCCAGUCUGCAAUAUAAAAUGUCAUUGAUUUCUCACCCACUGUAUCGAAACUUUGUGCCAGAGGAGUAACUCCAGAAGUAGAAAUGACACCAUGAGAUGGCCGAAACCCAAAAAUUCCACAAUGCGACGCAGGAAUUCUUACACUUCCUCCAGUGUCAGUUCCUGAAAAAGUGAGGGUCUUGUGCUUCAACAUAAAGAAGCAAGAAAACAACAAAAGCACACUAGGAAUAACUUACCUAAGGAAAAAUCUGCGAGGCCUACAGCUACGGCAACAGCAGAACCGCUAGAAGCCUCCAGGCACCCUAUCUGGAGCGCACGGAUUUCUGGGUGUGCCAUAAUGCUUGUUCUCUCCAUUCAUACUGCCAACAACACAGUGCAAAAUUCAAGGGCGUUUUCUGUCGAGUGAUUUUCGAAUGUCCAAAAUCAUUAUAUAAAUACUUUUACCACGAAAAGAGACUUGUAGCGAUCAAUCAUUUGUCAAAAUUUUUGGGAACAAAACAGUAAUGCAAGUUUAAGCAUGUGAAGUAAGACAAGGCCUCUUUGUACUAACCAGUAUGCCAUUUCAUCCAUGACAGUUAUACCAAUACUUGUGGCACCUCCACUCAAUAUUGCUGAAACAGCCGGAGCUGUUGAUUCAGCAGCCGGGUGAGUCCUCGCCCAAUCAGGAUUCCCAAACCCAGUCACACGUCCAGCCACAUCAAAUCUGCCUCCAAGUUCAAAUUUCAGUGAACACAAAAAUGUUUUGGCUUUUACACACACAUGAAAAAAAUUGCACAAUUCAACACCCUGAAGUUCACCAUCAUGGUUCCACAAGCACACAUAAAACCACACAAAGCAUGAAGAUUUAUUAAAACGCUUCUCUGAAAAAGCACUUCUCAUCAUAAGUGCUUUUGCUGGAAGUAUUUUUACUUUAGUAGAAGUAAAUCCACCACAAAGUUUCAUUAAAAAUUCAAGUGCUUCAGAAAAAAAACAUUUGAACUUUUUUUUCUGUAAGUGUUUUUAGUCAUUCUCAAAUGAAGAAACGCCCAAUCACAGAAACAACACACAAAAUUGGGUUCUUGGAGACAACUGAUUGAACCCAAAUCCGAAAUCAGCAAAUAAGCACAAAAGCAUAUGAAUUUUAAGUAUAACACUACAAAAUUUAAAGCAUCCACCAAAUAGAAGAGUGAUAUAAUUGAGGAAAAUUUAAGAGAGUAGCUCUCACAUGUCUUUAACAGCAAAGGUGAGGCCACUCAGAGGAAGGUCAUGUGAUGAAGACGGCGGUCGGAGAAGGAAUUUCUCCACGAAAGCUCCAUGAUCUGAGUCUAUCGCCAUCUCUCUCUGCCACUGCUGUCUCAGAUAAUCUCAGCUUCAGCAGCUGCUCCACAUUUGACGACAGAAGUGAAUAGCUCUCCACUCAUCAAUCAUACGAUGAUCCUAUUCAAAUGCAAGGACAGAUUAUUCCUUAAAAAAAUCUGUUGUUGAUAGGUGGUCACUUCAGUCAGUGAGGGCAAAGUGGAAAUUCUGG